UACGUAGGAGGCAAGCGUUGUCCGGAAUCACUGGGCGUAAAGAGCGUGUAGGCGGUCUGCCAAGUCUGUUGUGAAAGCGCCUGGCUUAACUGGGCGAGGUCGACGGAAACUGGCAAGCUGGAGGCCGGUAGAGGAGGGUGGAAUUCCCGGUGUAGUGGUGAAAUGCGUAGAGAUCGGGAGGAACACCAGUGGCGAAGGCGGCCCUCUGGGCCGGGCCUGACGCUGAGACGCGAGGGCGUGGGGAGCGAACGGG
rnacentral:rRNA from 1 species